rnacentral:rRNA from 1 species
UACGUCGGGUGCAAGCGGUAAUCGGCAUUACUGGGCGUAAAGCGUGCGCAGGCGGUUAUAUAAGACAGAUGUGAAAUCCCCGGGCUCAACCUGGGAACUGCAUUUGUGACUGUAUAGCUAGAGUACGGCAGAGGGGGAUGGAAUUCCGCGUGUAGCAGUGAAAGGCGUAGAUAUGCGGAGGAACACCGAGGGCGAAGGCAAUCCCCUGGGCCUGUACUGACGCUCAUGCACGAAAGCGUGGGGAGCACACAGGAGGAGAUACCCCGGUAGUCC